GCCGGGGUGGCCGAGUGGACUAAGGCGGUGGACACUCAUAAGCCACAGUUGAGAUCCACUACCCGUUAAGGGUGCCCGGGUUCAAAUCCCGGCCCCGGCG
rnacentral:tRNA from 1 species